AGCAGUAGCCGCGGUAAUACAGAGGGUGCGAGCGUUAAUCGGAUUUACUGGGCGUAAAGCGUGCGUAGGCGGCUUCUUAAGUCGGAUGUGAAAUCCCUGAGCUUAACUUAGGAAUUGCAUUCGAUACUGGGAAGCUAGAGUAUGGGAGAGGAUGGUAGAAUUCCAGGUGUAGCGGUGAAAUGCGUAGAGAUCUGGAGGAAUACCGAUGGCGAAGGCAGCCAUCUGGCCUAAUACUGACACUGAGGUGCGAAAGCGUGGUGAGCAAACAGGAUUAGAUACCCCGGUAGUCCCUGUCUCUUAUAC
rnacentral:rRNA from 1 species